UUACUAUUUCCUCCGUUCCGAAUUACUUGUUGCAAGUAUGGAUGUAUCUAGAUAUAUUUUAAUUUUAGAUACAUUUAUUUCUACGACGAGUAAUUUGAAACGGAGGAAGUAUCUU
rnacentral:pre_miRNA from 1 species